rnacentral:tRNA from 1 species
GCACGUAUGGUGUCAGUGGCUAGCAUUCCUGCCUUCCAAGCAGAUGGGGUGAGUUCGAGUCUCACUACGUGCUCCA